ensembl:lncRNA
AUAUGAGAAAUAAAGCAUACUCCUACAAUACCGUGUUAACUCUAAGACUAGAAUACAGAUUGCCUUGGUCACAGUCCUUUCCAUGGACAUUCUAUAUGUCUGCCAGGUUAUAUCCUUUCACCAGUCAUAGAACCACAGAGCCAUAGAACCAUAGAAUCACAGAACCACUAAGAUUGGAAAAGACCUCCAUGAUCAUCCAGUCCAACCUUCUACCUACCACCAAUAUUUUCCCACUAAACCACGUCCCUCAAGUACAGCAUCUGAAUGUUUCUUGAGCACCUCCAAGGACAGUGACUCCAUCAUCUCCCUAAGCAUCCUGUUACCAUGCUUGACAACUCUCUUGGAGAAAAAGUAUUUCCUAACAUCCGACCUGAAUCUCAUCUGAAUCUCCCCUGGUGCAAUGUGAGGCCCUUCCCUCUAGUCCUAUCACUAGUUACAUGGGAGAAGAGGCCAACCUCCAUCUCACCACAACCUUCUUUCAAGUUGUUGUAGAGAGUGAUAAGGUCUACCCUGAGCCUCUUCUUCUCCAGACUAAAUAUUCCCAGAUCCCUCAGCCACUCCUCGUAAGACUUGCGCUCCAGACCCCUCACCAGCUUCACUGCCCUUCUCUGAACAUGCUCCAGGGCCUCAAUGUCUUUCUUGGAAUGAGGAGCCCAAAACUGAACACAGUACUCAAAGCGUGAUCUCACCAGUGCCAAGUACAGGGGAAUUAUUACUUCCCUGCUCCUGCUGGCAACACUAUUUCUGAUACAAGCUAGGAUGCCAUUGGCCACCUUGGCCACCUGGUCACACUGCUGGCUCAUGUUCAUUUGAGAGUCAAUCAAUACCCCCAGGUCCAUUUCCUCUACACAGUCUUCCAGCCACUCUGCCCCAAGCCUGUAGUGUCGCCUGAGGUUGUUGUGGCCAAAGUGCUGGACCCAGCACUUGGUCUUGUUGAACUUCAUCCCACUGGCCUCAGCCCAGCUACCCAGCCUGUCCAGAUUGCUCUAUAGGGCCUUCCUACCCCCAGGCAGAUCAACGCUUCUCCCCAGCUUGGUGUCAUCUGCAAACUUACUGAGGGUACACUCAAUGCCCUCAUCCAGGUCAUCAGUAAAGAUAUUGAAAAGGACAAGCCCCAGUACCAACCCCUUGGGAGCACCACUCAUGACUGGUCAACAGCUAGAUGUGACUCCAUUUACCACUGCACUCUGAGGCCAGCCAUCCAGCAAGUUUUGAGAGAGCCAUCCAUUUGAGCAUCAUUCCAGAAUAUGACAUAGUAGAGCUACUUAGGAAAUCUCAAAAAGCCUUUUGGAAAACUGAAGCCUCCUUUACACUUCUCAGUAUGGUCCCAGCACUGUAGGAACUCUGCUCUUCAGGAGAAUGGGAUCCAUUACUCUUCCUGGUUUAUGUCUCAGCAAACUGAAGGUCAGCAUCUCAGUAGGAUCGAUUCAUGGCUCUGCAAAGGAUUCCUGUGCCAAACAACAAACAAAGCACGUUGUAAGUGGGAACAGCUAAAGGCUUUGCUCUUCAAAGGAAUAUGUGCAUCCACUACUUGCUCAGCAAUCUCAAUAGAAGCUGAGGGAGUUAAGGAUUUUGCAAAAUGAGAUCAUGACACAAGUGUGAAUGAGUGGACAUGAAACAGCUCAGUAAUCCUGGUAUUUUACUGCUCUGAUCACUGGCUUUCUCAUUAUGCCUGAUCUCGUCUGGCAACGUGUAUGGAUAAUGAGUGGUUUAUUUCAGAAUAUUGUCAAAUAGGGACACUCAUUCAUAUCCAAAAUGCCUGUUUGUAAAAAUCUGUAAUGAGGCACCCCCUCUCUGUUUCCUGUUAAUUUCUGAGAUUGAAAAUGUUAUGAAC